GAUGAACGCUGGCGGCGUGCCUAAUACAUGCAAGUCGAGCGAACAGACGAGGAGCUUGCUCCUCUGACGUUAGCGGCGGACGGGUGAGUAACACGUGGAUAACCUACCUAUAAGACUGGGAUAACUUCGGGAAACCGGAGCUAAUACCGGAUAAUAUAUUGAACCGCAUGGUUCAAUAGUGAAAGACGGUUUUGCUGUCACUUAUAGAUGGAUCCGCGCCGCAUUAGCUAGUUGGUAAGGUAACGGCUUACCAAGGCAACGAUGCGUAGCCGACCUGAGAGGGUGAUCGGCCACACUGGAACUGAGACACGGUCCAGACUCCUACGGGAGGCAGCAGUAGGGAAUCUUCCGCAAUGGGCGAAAGCCUGACGGAGCAACGCCGCGUGAGUGAUGAAGGUCUUCGGAUCGUAAAACGCUAUUAUUAGGGAAGAACAAAUGUGUAAGUAACUAUGCACGUCUUGACGGUACCUAAUCAGAAAGCCACGGCUAACUACGUG
rnacentral:rRNA from 1 species